GACAGAGGGUGCAAACGUUGUUCGGAUUUACUGGGCGUAAAGCGUGUGUAGGCGGCUUGGCAAGUUGGAUGUGAAAGCCCACGGCUCAACCGUGGAAGCGCAUCCAAAACUGCUUCGCUCGAGUCUCGGAGAGGAAGGUGGAAUGCUUGGUGUAGAGGUGAAAUUCGUAGAUAUCAAGCAGAACACCUGCGGCGAAGGCGGCCUUCUGGACCUUAACUGACACUGAGGGACGAAAGCUAGGGGAGCGAAUGGG
rnacentral:rRNA from 1 species